rnacentral:rRNA from 1 species
UACGUAGGGGCCGAGCGUUGUCCGGAGUUAUUGGGCGUAAAGCGCGCGCAGGCGGCUUGGCGCGCCCGACGUGAAAGCCCUCGGCUUAACCGGGGAACUGCGUCUGAUACUGGAUGGCUUGAGUUUGGGAGAGGGAUGCGGAAUUCCAGGUGUAGCGGUGAAAUGCGUAGAUAUCUGGAGGAACACCGGUGGCGAAGGCGGCAUCCUGGACCAACACUGACACUGAGGCACGAAGGUCAGGGGAGCAAACGGG